GACGAACGCUGGCGGGGUGCUUAACACAUGCAAGUCGAACGGAAAGGGCCUGUUUUUGUGGGGGGCUAGAGUGGCGUACGGGUGAGUAGCACGUGUGUGACCUGCCCUUUGAUUUGGGAUAACUUCAGGAAACUGGGGCUAAUAGCGGAUGGGAGUUCAUGCGGCAUGUUGGGGGUUGGAAAGUUUCGGCUGUUGGGGAUGGACUGGCGGGUUAUGAGCUUGUUGGGGGGGUAGUGGCGUACCACGGCUUUGACGGUUAGCCGGCCGGAGAGGGUGACCGGCCACAUUGGGACUGAGCUACGGCCCAGACUCCUACGGGCGGCAGCAGUGGGGAAUAUUGCACAAUGGGCGGAAGCCUGAUGCAGCAACGCCGCGUGCGGGAUGACGGCCUUCGGGUUGUAAACCGCUUUCGCCUGUGACGAAGCGUCAGAGACGGUAAUGGGUAAAGAAGCACCGGCUAACUACGUC
rnacentral:rRNA from 1 species